rnacentral:rRNA from 1 species
UACGUAGGGGGCUAGCGUUGUCCGGAAUCAUUGGGCGUAAAGCGCGUGUAGGCGGUCCGGUAAGUCCGCUGUGAAAGUCGGGGGCUCAACCCUCGGAUGCCGGUGGAUACUGUCGGGCUUGAGUACGGAAGAGGCGAGUGGAAUUCCUGGUGUAGCGGUGAAAUGCGCAGAUAUCAGGAGGAACACCAAUUGCGAAGGCAGCUCGCUGGGACGUUACUGACUCUGAGACGCGAAAGCGUGGGGAGCAAACAGG